UACGGGAGGCAGCAGUGGGGAAUAUUGCACAAUGGGCGCAAGCCUGAUGCAGCCAUGCCGCGUGUAUGAAAAAGGCCUUCGGGUUGUAAAGUACUUUCAGUCGUGAGGAAGGUGUUAAGGUUAAUAACCUUAGCAAUUGACGUUAGCGACAGAAGAAGCACCGGCUAACUCCGUGCCAGCAGCCGCGGUAAUACGGAGGGUGCGAGCGUUAAUCGGAAUUACUGGGCGUAAAGGGCACGCAGGCGGUUAAUUAAGUUGGAUGUGAAAUCCCCGGGCUUAACCUGGGAAUGGCAUUCAAGACUGGUUAGCUAGAGUCUUGUAGAGGGGGUAGAAUUCCAUGUGUAGCGGUGAAAUGCGUAGAGAUGUGGAGGAAUACCGGUGGCGAAGGCGGCCCCUGGGACAAAGACUGACGCUCAUGUGCGAAAGCGUGGGGAGCAAACG
rnacentral:rRNA from 1 species